GGUCAAGCUACGAAGGGCGCACGGUGGAUGCCUUGGCGUCACGGGCCGAUGAAGGACGUGGCAAGACUGCGAUAAGCCUCGGUAUGCUGUCUAGCAAGCUAAACCGAGGAUCUCCGAAUGGGGCAACCCGGCUCGCUUUAUAGCGGGUCACGACCAGCUGAACACAUAGGCUGGAUCGAGGGAACCGGGGGAACUGAAACAUCUAAGUACCCUGAGGAAAAGAAACAAUUCUCUUAGUAGCGGCGAGCGAACGGGGAAUAGCCCAAACCGUCAUCCUUGUGAUGGCGGGGUUGUAGGACCGGCGCACAGGAGCGCCAGUUUGGAUAGCCGAAGGACCUGGAACGGUCCGCCGUAGAGGGUGAGAGUCCCGUAGGCGAAAUUUAGACGGCUCCUGCCGGUAUCCUGAGUACCACGGGACACGAGAAAUCCCGUGGGAAGCUGGGGAGACCACUUUCCAAGGCUAAAUACCUGUGACGACCGAUAGUGAACUAGUACCGUGAGGGAAAGGUGAAAAGCACCCCGGGAGGGGAGUGAAAUAGUACCUGAAACCGUGUGCCUACAAGCAGUCGGAGCCUGGUUUCGGCCGGGUGACGGCGUGCCUAUUGAAGAAUGAGCCAACGAGUUACGUUCCGUGGCAAGGUUAAGCGAUGUGAGUCGCGGAGCCGGAGCGAAAGCGAGUCUGAAUAGGGCGCCACAGUCGCGGGAUGUAGACCCGAAACCUAGUGAGCUACCCAUGGGCAGCGUGAAGCGAGGGUAAGACCUCGUGGAGGCGCGAACCUUCCUACGUUGCAAAGUGGUUGGAUGAUCUGUGGGUAGAGGUGAAAUGCUAAUCGAACUAGGAGAUAGCUGGUUCUCCCCGAAAUGCGUUUAGGCGCAGCCUCGUAUGAUGUGCACUGGAGGUAGGGCUCUGGUUGGGUCCGGGGGCUUACCGCUUACCAAUCCCAUCCAAACUGCGAAUGCCAGUGCAUGAGAAUACGGGAGUGAGACAGCGGGGGCUAAGCUUCGUUGUCGAAAGGGAAACAGCCCAGACCCUCGGCUAAGGCCCCUAAAUCCAUGCUUAGUGUGAAAGGAAGUCCGGUCGCAAAGACAGCCAGGAUGUUGGCCCAGAAGCAGCCAUCAUUGAAAGAGUGCGUAACAGCUCACUGGUCGAGUGAUCGGGCGCCGACAAUGUAACGGGGCUCAAGCAUGGUGCCGAAGCCAGGGGAUCGUCCUUAGGGGCGGUCGGUAGGGGAGCGUUCCACGCAGCAGUGAAGCCGGCAGGGUGACCUCCGGUGGAGCGUGUGGAAGUGAGAAUGUUGGCAUGAGUAGCGUAAUUCCGGUGAGAAACCGGGACACCGUAAGCCCAAGGGUUCCUACGCAAGGUUUAUCCACGUAGGGUUAGGCGGGCCUAAGCCGAGGACGAGAGUCGUAGGCGAUGGACAGCAGGUUAGUAUUCCUGCCCCACCGAAGUUGUGCCUGAGGCAGGAGGGGUGACCCGGAAGGAUAGGUCGAGCGGGCCGAUUGGACAUGGUCCGUUCUGCAGUCGUAGGCGUCUGGGGGCAGGCAAAUCCACCCCCAGGUUAAGCGGAGGGCUGUAGAGAAGCGGAGACGUCAGUCAAUGCGACUCGAUUGAGUCCAUGCCGGCGAGAAAAACCUCGCUGCCGAACAACCUCGGUGCCCGUACCGCAAACCGACACUGGUGGGCGGCGGUAAGUACCGUCAGGUGAUCGAGAGAACCUUCGUUAAGGAACUCGGCAAUCUAGCUCCGUAACUUCGGGAGAAGGAGCGCCCCGGUUAGUGAAGGACCUUGCGUCCUGAGCUGGCUAGGGUCGCAGAGAGCAGGCCCAGGCGACUGUUUAACAAAAACACAGGUCUCUGCUAACGCGUAAGCGGAUGUAUAGGGGCUGACGCCUGCCCAGUGCCGGAAGGUUAAGGAGCGCGGUGCAAGCCGCAAACUGAAGCCCCGGUGAACGGCGGCCGUAACUAUAACGGUCCUAAGGUAGCGAAAUUCCUUGUCGGGUAAGUUCCGACCCGCACGAAUGGCGUAACGAUCUGGGCGCUGUCUCAACGAAGGACUCGGCGAAAUUGAACUGGCCGUGAAGAUGCGGCCUACCCGCAGCCGGACAAAAAGACCCCGUGGAGCUUUACUGCAGCUUGGCGCUGGAGGCCGGGCUUAGAUGCGUAGAAUAGGUGGGAGGCGAUGAACCGUUCCUUUUGGGGGGCGGGGAGCCAAUAGUGAAAUACCACUCUUCUAUGUUUGUCCUCCUAACCUGUGAGCAAGCAUGGGAACAGCGCCUGGUGGGCAGUUUGACUGGGGCGGUCGCCUCCUAAAAGGUAACGGAGGCGCGCAAUGGUCCCCUCAGGGUGGAUGGCAAUCACCCGACGAGUGUAUUGGUAUAAGGGGGCUUGACUGCGAGACGGACAUGUCGAGCAGGGACGAAAGUCGGUCAAAGUGAUCCUACGGUCCCGAGUGGAAGGGCCGUGGCUUAUCGGAUACAAGCUACCCCGGGGAUAACAGGCUGAUCCUGCCCAAGAGUUCAUAUCGACGGCAGGGUUUGGCACCUCGAUGUCGGCUCGUCGCAUCCUGGGGCUGAAUCAGGUCCCAAGGGUUGGGCUGUUCGCCCAUUAAAGCGGUACGCGAGCUGGGUUCAGAACGUCGUGAGACAGUUCGGUCUCUAUCCGCUGUGGGCGUAGGAGGCUUGAGGAAUGCUGCCCCUAGUACGAGAGGACCGGGGUGGACGGACCUCUGGUGUGCCGGUUGUCCCGCCAGGGGCAUCGCCGGGUAGCCAAGUCCGGAAUGGAUAAGCGCUGAAAGCAUCUAAGCGCGAAGCCAAUUCCAAGAUGAGGCCUCCCACCGGGUUAACCGGGUAAGACCGCGGGAAGACCACCCGCUUGAUAGGCUACAGGUGGAAGCACAGCAAUGUGUGGAGCUGAGUAGUACUAAUGGUCGAGGGCUUGACCCU
rnacentral:rRNA from 25 species